CCCUUAGAUGUUCUGGGCUGCCCGCGCGCUACACUGGUGCGUUCAGCGAGUUUAGCACCUUAACAGAUAUGUUUGGGUAAUCUUCUGAAAACGCACCGUGAUGGGGAUCGAUUAUUGUAAUUAUUAAUCGUCAACGAGGAAUUCCUAGUAAGUGUGAAUCAUCAGUUCGCGCUGAUUACGUCCCUGCCCUUUGUACACACCGCCCGUCGCUGCUACCGAUUGAGUGGUCCGGUGAAGCCUCGGGAUUGUGGUUCUUGCCGCUUUAUUGUGGCGUGACCGCGAGAACUUGUCUAAACCUUAUCAUCUAGAGGAAGGUGAAGUCGUAACA
rnacentral:rRNA from 1 species